AAGCAUAUCAAUAAGCGGAGGAAAAGAACAACAGGGAUUGCCUCAGUAACGGCGAGUGAAGCGGCAACAGCUCAAAUUUGAAAUCUGGUCCCCUCUGGGGGCCCGAGUUGUAAUUUGAAGAGGAUGCUUUUGGCGAGGCGCCUUCCGAGUGCCCUGGAACGGGACGCCACAGAGGGUGAGAGCCCCGUAUGGUAGGACGCCGAGCCUCUGUAAAGCUCCUUCGACGAGUCGAGUAGUUUGGGAAUGCUGCUCAAAAUGGGAGGUAAACCCCUUCUAAAGCUAAAUAUUGGCCAGAGACCGAUAGCGCACAAGUAGAGUGAUCGAAAGAUGAAAAGCACUUUGAAAAGAGAGUUAAACAGCACGUGAAAUUGUUGAAAGGGAAGCGCUUGCGACCAGACUUGCGCCCGUCGGAUCAACCGUCCCUCGUGGGCGGCGCACUCCGGCGGGCUCAGGCCAGCAUCAGUUUUCCUGGGGGUAGAAAGGCGGUGGGAAUGUAGCUCUUCGGAGUGUUAUAGCCCGCCGCGUAAUGCCCUCGGGGGGACUGAGGACCGCGCGUAUGCAAGGAUGCUGGCGUAAUGGUCGUCAGCGACCCGUCUUGAAACACGGACCAAGGAGUCGUCCUAAUAUGCGAGUGUACGGGUGUAAAACCCCUGCGCGUAAUGAAAGUGAACGGAGGUGAGAGCUUCGGCGCAUCAUCGACCGAUCCUGAUGUUCUCGGAUGGAUUUGAGUAAGAGCAUAUUGGGCCGGACCCGAAAGAAGGUGAACUAUGCCUGUAUAGGGUGAAGCCAGAGGAAACUCUGGUGGAGGCUCGCAGCGGUUCUGACGUGCAAAUCGAUCGUCAAAUAUGGGCAUGGGGGCGAAAGACUAAUCGAACCUUCUAGUAGCUGGUUUCCGCCG
rnacentral:rRNA from 1 species